UGGAUAAUAAGUUAAGGUAAACUGAGUGAUUCAUGUUCAUUUAUUGUACGGUUUAAAGGUGCUUAUCCUU
rnacentral:tRNA from 1 species